GAACUAUUGGAAAUCGCUAAAAGAGAAAAAGUAGCCACCUCAGAUACAGACAAGAACCGUGAGAACAGGAUAAACGUAUACCCAAAUAAUCAUGUCGGUCCUGCCCACGUGGAAGUUAAACUAAAGAAUGCCGCGCUACAGUCCCGAGUUACAUCGUCGCGACGGUGUGAAGAUGUUGCAAUGAUGUGAAGUUGCGGAAACGAGUUUUCGCGCUUCCGGUUGCCAGGAAGCGGCAAAUUUUUAAAAUAGUAGAGAGCGAUUCGAGAACUCAAAGAGAGAAGACGUUUUGUUACAAGUCUCCAAGAUUAUCGUUAUAUUAUCGUUAAAUUGUUUAAAAGUUAUAGUUUGUUAAUAAACUUUAUAUUUAAUUAAAAUGAAUUCUCGUGCUUCAACCCCCUGGCGCAACAAUAUCAUAACGAAAGACCGUACAAAUCAAAGAAAUGGUGCGGGUGUAGCACUGAUCAUACGCAAGAACAUUAAUUACAGGCCCCCUCAGGAGCAGCUGACCAAAAAUAAAUGGAACAAUGUUAUAAAGGUGGUGAACAAUAAAGGCAAGCUGGUCUUGGCAGAUGAUUUCAACGCCCAGCAUCAUAUAUGGCACAACAGCCUAAUUAAUACUGCAGGGGAAAACCCAGGGCCCCCAAGCUCUACUCUUGUGAACAUGAAGCCCGAUUUUAAUUCGCGCCUGGGACUACUGGCGGUGCCAGUGUCACUCCUUUACGUACUAUUAAGUUCAUAUUCUGUAUCCCACAAAGUAUGUGCAAUCUUCGGCUGCAGAAGCAGCAAGAAACGCAUGUUCCAGUUCCCCUGUCCGCUGAAGGACAAAGACAGGUGCUUGCAGUGGAUAACAGCUUCAAGAAGGGAGGAUUUUCUCCAGCUUCCACCAAAGAUAGUGAGGAGCAAAGUGUUGUGCGAUAUUCACUUUGAAAAUCGCUAUCGCUUGCCAACAAAUCUCAUGAGGGAUGCAGUACCAACCUGCAACUUACCAGUGGGAUUACAGGACAGCGUGGGAGUGAAGGACAACGUGGGACUUCAGGACAGCGUGGGACUUAAGGCCAACAUUAAACCUGAAACAAGUAAAGACUCCGGCGCACUUGCCUAUAAUGUGCUCCUAGGUUCAUCCAGAGAAAACAUUGGGAGAAUAAAUAAGAAUUCCAAAAUGGAGGAACCCUGAAAAAAACGCUGUUCAAAGCUGUGGCAAAAGUUUUGAAAACAGCCAGGCAGUUCAGGCGCCGGAGGUCAACGGUGAGAAAACGCAUCGAGAAGAUUGAGCAUCUCGUGCAGACCGGUGUGUGUCAGGUUUUAGAAAGCCUGCCAACACCCCUGCACGCGAUGCUCUCUGCUCAGAUGCGCAACGCGGGAAAGGCGAAAUCGGCGCGACGCUUCUCCGAAGAGGAGAAGCUAUUACCUAUUCGAACAGAGAAUGGACUUGGAUCCACAUCUAACGCGUCCUAUCGAGGUGCGUACAUCUAAUGUAAGCAAGACUAGAUUUUUGUUUUAAUAGGUUGUACUUAAUUUAAAAUUUCCCUUUUAAAUUAAGUAGUCUUCUUUGUCAAUAUCUUUAAUACUUCAUUUUUUACAUUUGAAAUCUUUUUAUUGUACUUCAUUUUCCAAAUAAUAAAUUCGGUCUUGUAUGAAAGUUAAUUAUGUGUACUACACCUUUUUUGUAUAUUUUAUUGUAUUUUUUUUAUUAUAUACUUUUUGUAUCCUAUAUUUUAUUGUAUAUUUUUAUUAUAUGUAUGUAUAAUAAGUUUAAAUUCAUACAGUAGAUCCUUUUUUUUCCUUCCUUUACUUUUUAUUCAGUUUCAUUUUAAAGCAGGUACAAAUACACAUGUAUAGGAUCAUGUUGUUGUGUGUGUGAGACUCACUGAUUAUGUUGUAUGUGGUAGUAACGACACUGGCGCCGCGGGUAGUCCCGGGCGCGAAUUAAAAUCGGGCUUUAACGCAAAAUACUGUAGCUCGGUGGCCCUGGGGAAAACCUAGAAGAAAUCCUAGCAGAUCGUAACCUGAUAGUCCACAACUUAGACUCCCACUCAAGGAUAGACAAUAGAUAUAACAUCAAGACCAACAUUGACCUUUUUAUCACAAGUUCAGACAUUGUUCACCUGAUUGCUACUAGACAACUAGAUGAUACCUUUGGGUCAGAUCACUUCCCUAUAGAAAUUAAAAAACAGAUAUACUCCAGAAUCGCCAAUAGACUAUCCACAAUUAGAACAGACUGACAACUCUACCAAACUGAGAUGAAUAACUCCUAUAAUGAAUACCUCAACAUGGAUCAUGUAGCCCUUCCAGAAACUCACAGAUACGAAUUAUUCAGCGAAUCUAUGAGAAAAGUAGUUAUCAAGCACACUCCAGAGAAAAAGGCUAACUCGAAAGUAGGGGUUACCCGAAAAAGCAACCCGGCCCCCUGGCGGAAUGAGGAGUGUGACCGUGAAAUAAGAAAAAGAAAAGCCUCGCUUAAAAAAUGGCUGUACACCUUAAAAGCAGAGGAUUGGAAUGUAUAUAAUAAAAAUUAUUUCAAAGGAUAUAACUGUUUCAUACGAAAGUUGGGGGGGAAGUGUCGUGUGGUUCAACACGGUCCUCUUUCCAGAAGGCCAUACCUUCCCCACUCCGUAACCAGAUCUUUCUAGAGCUAUAUAUCAUUUGUUUAAUUCAAUAUGGCUAAUUAUUAAUUAUGGCAAUGCAACGUCGGGUUGCUUGGCCAGUUUACGCGUUACCGAUGGUAACUCAUCGGUCAUGCGACAUUCCUUUUGGAGCCGCCUUCGGAUCAUCGCAAGUUCGCGCUCUGCCACAAGCUGACGUCUUGGCCCCUCGCGAACCCAUCGCUUGCAGCUAUUCCGAAAAUCAAUAUAUUGAUCGGACGCUAACAUAUACAUAUACGUUUACAAAGUACACGCGGUGUAAUUUCUUUCCACCCUAAUCCUAAAACAUCAAAGACCCAUCACUUUAUUUU